rnacentral:tRNA from 1 species
UCCCUGGUAGCUCAGAUGGUAAAGAGUCUGCCUGCAAUGUAGGAGACCUGGGUUCAAUCCCUGGGUAGGGAA